GAGCUCUCAGGCGAGGCAGAGGCACUCGGCGGCUGCCUGCUCCAUCUGCAGGGGCCAUCUUGUUAUUGACAUGUGUCGGGUCUCGCUCUGGCUUCCUGCAGUAGCCGGGUUGCAGCGCGCUCACAAAGAGCUGUCUGGCGUUAGCAGUGACCCCAGGCUGCAGGAAGUAGCUGGUUUUGCUUGGACACAGCGUGUCAGUAAAUGGUGCAAACUGCCACACGCAGAGACAAGAAGCUGCAGUGCACAGACCAGCAGAAACCAAACAGAAACCACAGAAAAUAAAAAGACACAAUUGAAGGAGAUGGGAACAAACCUUCCAGAUCUAUAUGAAAACCUCGGGAGCAGAUAAAAAAGAACUUGGCAUAAAAGUAGCCAUUUUACUGCACAUAGUGGGAGAGGAAGCUCUGGAAGUUUAUAACGUUCUUACAGCAGCCAGCUGAAAAUGCUUCUGUUUUGGAUGAGAUCUUAACAAUGAUUAGGAACUAUGGUAACUGUAAGAAAAAAAUUGUGAUCUGUACCAAUUGUGUUCUGUAGUGGUCUUACCUACACUUAGGGGAAGAGCGGAUAGACUCUUCCCCUAAGUGUCAUAGAGCUGAGGCAAAAAACAAGAAAUGAGAGUUUGAAAAUGAUAUUCUCAGAUACAGAACUGUGUUUAGUGUCACCGAAAAAGGGCAAAAGGAAAGGUUGUUGAGGAAAGUGGAAACCUAAUUUGGGCUUGCAGAAAGCAAUAGGCAUUUGCAGAGCUUCACAAGCCACAAAAUAGAGAUCUUGUCUGGGCCACAUACUGACAUGUUUGUAGAGGCUGUUACACAAAAGAAUACACAGGGCAUCAUGGGGAGAGCCCAACUGCUGAUGAGUCAGAGCAAGGCAGACACACCAGUCACUCACACACAAACUCUGUGCACACUGUGGUAUGACAAACCUAGCCUAUGGAAAAACAUGUCACAAAUGUGGAAAAUUAAAUCACUAUUCUAUUUGCAGAGUUUAAUCUUAAUAUUGAGGUGGAAGCUAAAUGUUUUCCAAAUCACCGUUUGAGAAAGAUAGCAAGUCCCAUCCAGUC
rnacentral:lncRNA from 1 species